AGUUGUGACUACAACUACAUCUACUACAGUAACAACACGUCCCACAGUAACUGCUGGAUUAUUAUACAGAGUGAUUGUGAGUAUUGUUGAGAUGGCAGUGUUUGCUGCUCCUACUGUGAUUCUUCUUCAGAUCAUCUGUGCAAGAAGAGCUGGGAGGAAGAACUCGAGACACCCGGAGGAAAUAGAGAUGCCUGCAAUACAACAAUAAAAACUGAUAAAAAACUCUUCCUCCAUUUCUCCACGUCUGUCGCCAUGGUUACUGUGGUUGUAUGAGCAGAAACUGAGGGUAACGUGGAUAUGACGCCAUUGACUGGAAACUCCCUCAGCCCUGCUCACACGCCCCGUUUCCUUGGUUACCAUCGCAAUUUUCUCGUUUUUG